UUACUGCGUUUGCAAUUUCAUAGGCCACAUAACGGCUUAUAUUUUAACUACUUCAACCUGAAAUCAUAAUAGGAUUUUUUUUAUAGAAAAUUUCAACCUAGCUCUAACUUUUUUAAUCUUAAACUAAAUUUUAGUUUAAACUUAAAGUAAUCCAAUCUAUAGCUUGAAAUAUUGCUUGUGCUAUUGACGUAUACACAUCUUAAUUGUGAAUUGAGUUAAGUUAAUUUUUUUUUAAAUUUUAAAAGAAUGUACCGUCACAUUUAGAUAUCAAAAUCCUUUAAACGCUAUUACAAAUUUCGAAAUUCAGAGGUCCAAAGUUCCAAAUACAGUGUUAUCUUUGUGUAUGUAAUGUAUUUAGUCUUGUUAAUGACAUUAGAUAUUUUGCAUGAUUGAUUAGUGAUUGAUUUACGUUUGGAUAUUUUGUAUUAUUG
rnacentral:lncRNA from 1 species